rnacentral:rRNA from 1 species
UGGGGAAUUUUGGACAAUGGGCGAAAGCCUGAUCCAGCAAUGUCGCGUGUGUGAAGAAGGCCUUCGGGUUGUAAAGCACUUUUGUCCGGAAAGAAAUCCUUGGCUCUAAUACAGUCGGGGAUGACGGUACCGGAAGAAUAAGCACCGGCUAACUACGUGCCAGCAGCCGCGGUAAUACGUAGGGUGCAAGCGUUAAUCGGAAUUACUGGGCGUAAAGCGUGCGCAGGCGGUUUGCUAAGACCGAUGUGAAAUCCCCGGGCUCAACCUGGGAACUGCAUUGGUGACUGGCAGGCUAGAGUAUGGCAGAGGGGGGUAGAAUUCCACGUGUAGCAGGUGAAAUGCGUAGAGAUGUGGAGGAAUACCGAUGGCGAAGGCAGCCCCCUGGGCCAAUACUGACGCUCAUGCACGAAAGCGUGGGGAGCAAAACAGGAUUAGAUACCCUAGUAGUCCACGCCCUAAAACGAUGUCAACUAGUUGUUGGGGAUUCAUUUCCUUAGUAACGUAGCUAACGCGUGAAGUUGACCGCCUGGGGAGUACGGUCGC